rnacentral:rRNA from 1 species
CCUACGGGGGGCAGCAGUGAGGAAUAUUGGUCAAUGGCCGGAAGGCUGAACCAGCCAUGCCGCGUGAAGGUCAGUGCCCUAUGGGCGUUAAACUUCUUUUGUGCGGGAGCAAUAAUGGUCACGUGUGGCCAGACGAGAGUACCGUACGAAUAAGCAUCGGCUAACUCCGUGCCAGCAGCCGCGGUAAUACGGGGGAUGCAAGCGUUUUCCGGAUUUAUUGGGUUUAAAGGGUGCGUAGGCUGUGAGGUAAGUCAGCGGUGAAAUGCCCCCGCUCAACGGGGUGAAGUGCCAUUGAUACUGCCUGGCUGGAAUGCGGAUGCCGUGGGAGGAAUGUGUGGUGUAGCGGUGAAAUGCAGAGAUAUCACACAGAACACCGAUUGCGAAGGCAUCUCACGAAUCCGCGAUUGACGCUGAUGCACGAAAGCGUGGGUAUCAAACAGGAUUAGAUACCCUUGUAGUC